CUCUGUGACUCCUACGGGAGGCAGCAGUGGGGAAUAUUGCACAAUGGGGGAAACCCUGAUGCAGCCAUGCCGCGUGUGUGAAGAAGGCCUUCGGGUUGUAAAGCACUUUCAGUAGGGAGGAAGGUAGUGUAGUUAACACCUGCACUAUUUGACGUUACCUACAGAAGAAGCACCGGCUAACUCCGUGCCAGCAGCCGCGGUAAUACGGAGGGUGCGAGCGUUAAUCGGAAUUACUGGGCGUAAAGCGCAUGCAGGCGGCCUGUUAAGUCAGAUGUGAAAGCCCGGGGCUUAACCUCGGAAUUGCAUUUGAAACUGGCAGGCUAGAGUCUUGUAGAGGGGGUAGAAUUUCAGGUGUAGCGGUGAAAAUGCGUAGAGAUCUGAAGGAAUACCAGUGGCGAAGGCGGCCCCCUGGACAAAGACUGACGCUCAGAUGCGAAAGCGUGGGGAGCAAACAGGAUUAGAUACCCUGGUAG
rnacentral:rRNA from 1 species